UGCAAAAGUUAGGUGUGACGGGUCCUUCGAUGUAAUAUAACCAGCUGCUGCCGCGCCACGUGCCUGCGAAGCUGGUGUGUUACGCCGAAGGGCGGUUAUACCGGCUAUAUAGAUACAGAUACACUGUACCAUCCAUGGUCACCUAGAUUGGCAUUUGACGGCAUCCUUGUCUUUUUACUUGAAUGGAUAGCCAGGUUAGGCCUAACUAUUCAUACACCAGUCCACUGAUCAGUUGAUAGACUUCCAUGUAUGGUAAACCAAAUUGUUGCGUUCAGUUCCUCUCCAUCUUUUCCAUCUAAACUUUUUAAUUGGAAAAAGAACAAAGUACAUGUGUCUGCUUAUACAUGUAUGUUUUAAUGUCUGAGUUAUCCAAAUCAUUUGGUAUCAAAGAAUCUCAAGUCUCAACCAUUUCAUUUGAAGCAACUUCAUAUUCUGCAUAUCUUGAAUACGUGUACACCAGUGUAUAAAUUUCUCGGAUGAAAUACCUCAACAUUUCUAACACAUAUAAAAUGUAGAAAAUGACAUACCUAGAUCUGGAUUUGUGAAUGUUGGUCCCUUUCAAACUAGAAGUUCAUUUAUUUUUUUGGAAAAGUAGAAAACUUGUUUUUUGACAUUUCUCCAAAAGUUCAAGUGCAGAGCAAUGAAGAUUCUCUAGUGAUUACAAGUUAGAGGUUUUUUUUAAAUCAGGACAUGCCCUCACUUGCACACUUCCAUAGCCUGGGUGUCAUUCCAGUUGGUUUUCCACUGCUCCCAUUCUGCCUACAAACCAAGUAUUUUUCAGGGAGUAUAUAUGGGAGCCCUGGUAAGCUUCUAGAAAACAGGAUGGCACCCAGGCAAACCAUGGCAAAGAAUACCCUAGUACAACAACAUUAUCAUGAACUAGAAACAUUUCCUUAUAGUUUCAAAUGAAGUGCA